UACUUUUGACUUAAUUUAUUUGGUUUUACUUUUUCUACCUCCCUUCUUCCACUAUUGCUGCUGAACAUAUCAUAUUGUGACUACCAAAAUUAUCUUUAUCACCCAAUACCUCCUGCACAUAUUAAGAUUCUUUUUUUUCACUAAACACUGCCAUUAGAAUUGUUUCAUCAAAACUUUAAUUACUGAUAAACAUUAAUAAUC